AACGUAACACAACUUAAUUAAUUUCAAUAAAUGACUAAGUCGACUUACUUUAAAGUCACUACUGACUUACUUUAACAAGCGUAAGGUCAACAUUGACAAACAAUUGUCACCUGGAUGAGAGUCUUGUGUUUCUUCAACCCAUCCACCAAACUUUCUCGCUUCUUAUACUCUUUAUUACACACCUUUUAAACUUUCAAUAACAGUCGCUAUAAUAAACUACGUCGCUUUGUUGAUGCUUUGACCGAGUGCCAACAAUGUCCACCGUCAACAUACCCCUGGUUUGCAGAAACAUACCCAACAUUUCUUUCCUUGCAGCUGUUGUUUAACAUGUUGACGUUAUUCUACACUUUUACCUCGUGGAGCACAUGACAGCAGUAUCUCAGAGCCCCGAUAGACCGUCACAUCUCGGUGGAGCUCCGGCCCGUUUUCAGCGCUGCAGUUGAGCUCGUCCUCCUCCAACUGAAGCAGGUCUCUGCCUGAGAGGGCGGAGGGGGAAGCACACACCACGCUCCAGGCCUGCAGGCCUCGGCCGCCGUCGUGAGCCAUCCUCCUCCGGAGACUGCGCAUACUGCAAUCACACUGCCACCUGUUGCCACCCAGCCGGACGUCUGCCCCAAUGUCACGCAGAGUUAGGAACGUCAGGGGAUGGAGGCUGGUCAACAUGUUGAAGCUCAGAUCCAGGACCUUUUUGAGGGGGACACAAUAUGGACACAGUAGAGGUUGACGCGUCAUGUGGAGCUCUUUUAGCUGUCGGAGGUGGAGAAGGUCUCCUGGUCGUAGAGCUGAGAUCCUGUUGAACGAGAGCUGCAGAACCUGCAGGGACUCACUACCUUCCAGCCCUGGACGACAGAAAACAAAAUACUUCUGGUCUAUUUCCACUGUGAACUCUUUACAGCGUCGUAUCUUCUGCGGCGUUCGUUCCUCUUCUUCUUCAGCCCGAGACAAUCUCCCCCCGAGACAGCGCUGUUAGAGAGGCUCUGUGAGCUGAAUACCAAACAGGGAGGCAGUCCAUGACCGUCAACUCUGGCUAAGUAAAGGGUUCUCACACACACACACACACACACACACACACACACACACACACACAAGCCCCUGGAAUGUCAAUAAAAGCUGUCACUGACGGGUGUGCAGUGUUAUUAUCUUGGCAGGUGAGCAAAGUACGAAAGAUAAAGCACAUCGACAACACGGGGGUUUGUUUAUGUGUCAGAAUCGAAUGAGACGACGGUAACGCAGCUCAAAGACUUCUUCUACCUUCUAAAACUCUGGAAACAACAAACCUCUCAGGUGUGACUUCUAACCAACCACCCCCCCACACACACACACAAAUACAAAAGGCUUUUUAAUGUGUAGAUUUACGAGAUGGUGAACGUGACACACGAAAAACCACAAAGUUAAAGUCAACUUUUUGCCCCUAGUGUUUGUGAAAUAUAGUUAUAUAGUUUAAAAUGAUAUACAUCUAAGUAGAUCCAUAGAUGAUGCUUUAUUUUAAAGGCGCAGUGUGUAGGAUUCGGUGCCCUCUAGUGGUGUGGUUGCAUAUUGCAACCAACUGAAUACCCGCUCUGAA